rnacentral:rRNA from 1 species
UCGGGAAUUUUGGGCAAUGGGGGAAACCUUGACCCAGCAACGCCGCGUGAAGGAUGAAGUCUUUCGGGAUGUAAACUUCGAAAAUAUGGGAAGAAUAAAUGACGGUACCAUAUAUAAGCUCCGGCUAACUACGUGCCAGCAGCCGCGGUAAUACGUAGGGGGCAAGCGUUGUUCGGAUUUACUGGGCGUAAAGGGUGCGUAGGCGGCGUGGCAAGUCACUUGUGAAAUCUCCGGGCUUAACUCGGAACGGCCAAGUGAAACUGCCAUGCUAGAGUGCAGGAAGGGCAACUGGAAUUCUUGGUGUAGCGGUGAAAUGCGUAGAUAUCAAGAGGAACACCUGAGGCGAAGGCGAGUUGCUAGACUGACACUGACGCUCAGGCACGAAAGCCAGGGGAGCGAACGGGAUUAGAUACCCCCGUAGUCC